rnacentral:rRNA from 1 species
AACGUUGGGAACUAGAUGUAGGGCCUGUUCCACGGGUUCUGUGUCGUAGCUAACGCAUUAAGUUCCCCGCCUGGGGAGUACGGCCCGCAAGGCUAAAACUCAAAGGAAUUGACGGGGGCCCGCACAAGCGGCGGAGCAUGCGGAUUAAUUCGAUGCAACGCGAAGAACCUUACCAAGGCUUGACAUAGCCGAGAACGCUGUAGAGAUACAGAACUCUUUGGACACUCGGUUACAGGUGGUGCAUGGUUGUCGUCAGCUCGUGUCGUGAGAUGUUCGGUUAAGUCCGGCAACGAGCGCAACCCUCGUCCUAUGUUGCCAGCACGUUAUGGUGGGAACUCAUGGGAUACUGCCGUGGUCAACACGGAGGAAGGUGGGGAUGACGUCAAGUCAUCAUGCCCCUUAUGUCUUGGGCUUCACGCAUGCUACAAUGGCCGAUACAAAGGGCUGCGAUACCGCGAGGUGGAGCGAAUCCCAAAAAGUCGGUCUCAGUUCGGAUUGGGGUCUGCAACUCGACCCCAUGAAGUCGGAGUCGCUAGUAAUCGCAGAUCAGCAACGCUGGGGUGAAUACGUUCCCGGGCCUUGUACACACCGCCCGUCAAGUCAUGAAAGUCGGUAACACCCGAAGCCGGUGGCCUAACCCUUGUGGAGGGAGCCGUCGAAGGUGGGACUGGUGAUUAGGACU